rnacentral:rRNA from 1 species
UGUUGACAGAUGGUGGGCGCGGGUCGAGAGCGCUCCGAGGCUCCUUCCUCGGCGCGUGGUGGGAGGGGUAGUUCCAUUCCACCCCAGACCCUCCGGAGAGCACUAGAUCUCAGUAUGAAGACACCAUCGGCGGUCGCUUCUUCUUUGGCCGUGAGAGGUCGGGGGGAGAAGAAGGAGAAGGCUAGUAGAGGUGGACGUGGCGGCGGGAGAGGUAGGAAGGCUGCCACUACGCCUUCCUCGCCACCACCCUCAGCUGAUUCACCUGACCACAGGACUGCUCCGUCUGAGAUGGAGCCGCCUGAGGUGGACCCGUCUCGGACCCUGGUCCACGAGCCUCGCGGGCCGACGAGCCUUUGCCCCACGAGACUCCGGUCCCUGAGGCUCCGUCCCACGAGACUCUGGAUCAGGCUAUAUCGCAGCUGAACCAAUUGGGGGACUGGCCGAAGUCGAGUGGCCAUGCUGAUGGUGACGAGGGUGGCUAUAGUUCUGAUAGCUAUAAUGAGAGUGAGCUGGUUGAGGGGGGCAAUGUCUACCAGCGUGGUGGUACAAAGCUCCCGCCCACCCCGGCGCCCCCUGACCAGAGGUGGUUGAUUACGUCUGAUGGGGAGAAGCCCAACACAGUCCUUGGUGUGAUUUGUCGCCAGAGCUUCCCGGGGUGGGUCAAUUUGCCUAGUGAGGGCUAGGUUCCAGAGCUAGGAAUGACCUGGGAGCACUACUUGGCUGCCGCGGCCUCGCCGGGGGAGAGGAUCAGCGGUGUCGAGUGCCACACGGUGGCCGACGUUGUGAUCCAGACGUUUUGGACCUUUUACAGGUGUGCUGAGGGAUAGGAGGAGGCCGCGGCUCGGGUUAUCGAAGCUGAGUGCAGGCGGCUACUUCAAAACUGGCGGAACGGGGCUCGGACGCAGGCUACUCGAGACUACUUCGCCUCGAUUGGUAUUAGGAUGUCCAAGUUAAAGUGCCGUACAAAGUAUCUGAGUAAGGAGAAGUACAUGAAGGUGCCCCCGAGAUGGUGUGCGGAUAGGCUGGAUUGUUGGGAGGCGCCAGUGGAUGAGUGGUGCUCUCCCCAAUGGCUAUCCACCCACAACAAUGCAAAGGAUCGACGUGGCAAAAGGAGCAGUGUGCCACACCAUCAAGGCAGCGUCAACCUAUAUCAGUACGGGGAUAACUGGGCGCGGCACAACAAGACGGAUGUGCCAGAGCUGUUCGACCUAUAUGCCAUGGCCCAUAGUGCCCCGUAUAAGAAGGCCAAGGCACUCUCUAAGUCUGAUCUCGAUGAUCCAAAUAACUUCACCAACCGCACCUCCCACAACAAGCUCGUGAGGUACAGAGACGAGGGGAAGGCGAGGAAAGGGUCGGACUUUAACCCGAGCCAGCCUAUUGAUCCAGAGCUGGUGAUGAUAUCUGGUGGCGGAAGGAACCAUGGCUUGUUAGCCAUUGGGAAUGGACUGAUACGUUGUACUAGCACUCUCCCGCCGAUCAAGAGGCGCCAGACGAGCUCCGAUGCUGAGAUAAGGCCUCGUCCACGGCCAAUGGAUCUCGAAAUCAAGGAUAGUUAUACAGAAUUAGAUACCUUUCCUCCAACAUUAUGUGUGCGACCGUCGAUGAUUACAAUGCUAGAGAGGAGUGGUUUUGCAGGCUGCUAUUGAGGAAGAGAGAGCAAAGACCCAGGAGCUUCUGGCAGAGGAAAGGAGGCAGGCGGCGGAGAGGGAGAGGCAGAUUGAGGAGAGGACGGCUAGGCUUUUGGAGGAGGAGAGGAAUCGGAACAACUUGGCUAACCGGGCCAUAUACGAGCUCUUCGCGUACAUGUGCGAGAAGACGGUCAGACCCCUCCGUCGAUGCCAGUCAUUGCUCCGGCAGACACGCAUAACUCCCGACAAGCAUCGACGUCUGCCAUUGGCGCGAGCAAGAACCCCGAUCCUCCUCCGUCUGCCACUAUCGCGAGCAAGAACCCCGAUUCUUCACCUACGGGUUGACGAUUUGCUUCAGAUCACGGAAGCUUGGGUUGAUGGAGUGCUUAUCUUUAGUUUUUGUUUUGACUUUGUGAAACUUGCUACCUAUGAUGAAACUGUGUAAUAUUGAUGAAACUAUGUAUAUGUAUGGAUGAAACUUGCUACUAUUGGUAACAUGUGUUGGAUAUAUUUGCGUUCA